GAUGAACGCUGGCGGCGUGCCUAAUACAUGCAAGUCGAGCGAACGGACGAGAAGCUUGCUUCUCUGAUGUUAGCGGCGGACGGGUGAGUAACACGUGGAUAACCUACCUAUAAGACUGGGAUAACUUCGGGAAACCGGAGCUAAUACCGGAUAAUAUUUUGAACCGCAUGGUUCAAAAGUGAAAGACGGUCUUGCUGUCACUUAUAGAUGGAUCCGCGCUGCAUUAGCUAGUUGGUAAGGUAACGGCUUACCAAGGCAACGAUGCAUAGCCGACCUGAGAGGGUGAUCGGCCACACUGGAACUGAGACACGGUCCAGACUCCUACGGGAGGCAGCAGUAGGGAAUCUUCCGCAAUGGGCGAAAGCCUGACGGGGCAACGCCGCGUGAGUGAUGAAGGUCUUCGGAUCGUAAAACUCUGUUAUUAGGGAAGAACAUAUGUGUAAGUAACUGUGCACAUCUUGACGGUACCUAAUCAGAAAGCCACGGCUAACUACGUGCCAGCAGCCGCGGUAAUACGUAGGUGGCAAGCGUUAUCCGGAAUUAUUGGGCGUAAAGCGCGCGUAGGCGGUUUUUUAAGUCUGAUGUGAAAGCCCACGGCUCAACCGUGGAGGGUCAUUGGAAACUGGAAAACUUGAGUGCAGAAGAGGAAAGUGGAAUUCCAUGUGUAGCGGUGAAAUGCGCAGAGAUAUGGAGGAACACCAGUGGCGAAGGCGACUUUCUGGUCUGUAACUGACGCUGAUGUGCGAAAGCGUGGGGAUCAAACAGGAUUAGAUACCCUGGUAGUCCACGCCGUAAACGAUGAGUGCUAAGUGUUAGGGGGUUUCCGCCCCUUAGUGCUGCAGCUAACGCAUUAAGCACUCCGCCUGGGGAGUACGACCGCAAGGUUGAAACUCAAAGGAAUUGACGGGGACCCGCACAAGCGGUGGAGCAUGUGGUUUAAUUCGAAGCAACGCGAAGAACCUUACCAAAUCUUGACAUCCUUUGACAACUCUAGAGAUAGAGCUUUCCCCUUCGGGGGACAAAGUGACAGGUGGUGCAUGGUUGUCGUCAGCUCGUGUCGUGAGAUGUUGGGUUAAGUCCCGCAACGAGCGCAACCCUUAAGCUUAGUUGCCAUCAUUAAGUUGGGCACUCUAAGUUGACUGCCGGUGACAAACCGGAGGAAGGUGAGGAUGACGUCAAAUCAUCAUGCCCCUUAUGAUUUGGGCUACACACGUGCUACAAUGGACAAUACAAAGGGCAGCGAAACCGUGAGGUCAAGCAAAUCCCAUAAAGUUGUUCUCAGUUCGGAUUGUAGUCUGCAACUCGACUACAUGAAGCUGGAAUCGCUAGUAAUCGUAGAUCAGCAUGCUACGGUGAAUACGUUCCCGGGUCU
rnacentral:rRNA from 1 species